AUGAGCUUCCUGGAAGAUGCAGAGACUCCUUGUGAGACAGGAGCAGGUGAUAGUGCAGUGAUGAGCCACCUGGCUGGUAGGUCCAGCCUCCUAUUGUCAUCUUUCUGCCUCAUCUUCCUUCCUGCUGAGUUCUUCAUUUGGGGUCCAACUACCAGUUUGCUGCUGCUUAAAGAUGAACAACAAAGCAAUGCACACUCCUCGUUAAACAAACCAGACAGCCUUCAGGCAUACAAAGAAGAUAAAAAUUGCCCUUUGUCCCCAGAGCAAGAGUCUCAUCUGUUGCUUAACAGAAUUUUCCUCUCCAAGGUAGCGUCUCAGGCAGUGGUGGCUCCAGUUCCUGCUGGUGGCAUCAGAUCAUUGGCUCAGAACUCAGUAAGUUUUCACAGCUGCCCAGAGUCACGGGGAAAGAAAGAAAAAGAUCCAGAACCUUCCCUUCCAACAUUGGCCUCGGAGCAUCCGUGGACUGAGAUCACCCUCUAAAGAUGGGAACCUACCCAAGAUGCACAGCUGAGCCUAGAGGUUUCUGAUGGGCGGAGCCAAGGCCUCAUAGCAGGAGGGCCUGGCCUGGUGCCUGUGGAAGUCAGGCAGAUGAAUACUUGUCAGCUGGAAACCUAUUCUUUCCCUACAAGACACUUGGAAGUAGCUUUUGCAGUCCCCGUGCUCUUUCUCCCCUCCAGGCCCCUAAGAUUGCUUUGCCUGUAACAUCUUUUCAUUUCUUUUCAACCCAGAAAACCUAUACAUAUCCUUCAAGACCCAGAUGAAUCUUGAUGCUUCUUUGGUGGCAUCCCCGGGCACAAUUAAACACAUCCCUCCUGUGUUUUCAAACGUAUGCAGUUUGUGUUGUGGCACUUUCACUUCUGUGUACCUUUAAUGACUCAUACACGCUUUUAUCAUGGCACCUGGCACGACCUACAACAGCAACAGGCACAGUGGCAACUGACCAUGCCAACAGCCACAGCCUUGGUCGGGAAUGUUGGUAGCUGUUUAGUCACCGAGUGGUAGAUACUCGGUGUAACCUUCCCACCCGGCCCCUCCUGGCUUCUCUAUGAAGUGUUUGCAUUUUACGGAUGAGGAUGCACACCUGGUUCAGAAGUUUACUGUCUCGUUUUCCCUGUGAACCCUCAGAGGAAAAAAAGGAGACCUGGGUAUACCCUGUCUCUGUACUAGACACGGACAGGGUGCCUGAUACCAAGCGAUCACGAUCACCUAAAUGCCGCAAAAGCGUUCCAUAGCACUGAUGUGCGGAGGUUCGUUAAACCAUUUCCCACGUGUUGCUCUAGUUCCGGAUAUUCUAUCUUUCUUGGACUGGAUUAUUUCCUUUGGGUCAGUUCCUGGGAGUGGAGCGACUGGAUCCGAGGAUGUGGCGCUUCUUCGCUCCGCCACGUCAUCUUCCGCCUUGCGGAGCCCCGCGCAGCGAACGAGCUAAGCGAUCGUGGCAGCCCUGAAAGCCUGGUUCCCACCUCGACCUUGGCGCGUUGUCUGCAGGUGCCUCGGACCGCCCAGGGCCCGCGCUGUGCUCUGCACCGCAGCAUUUAGAUAGUGAUCAGGGCCGCGGGACCUGCACGCUCCCGCCACGCCGCGACCCCCCUAUCUCCGCUCCCCCCUCCCCCUCACUCCCCCCCCCCCCCCCCGCCGGCAGCUGCCUCGUUGGCAGCUGGAUUAGGCCUGGGGGCGGGGACCAGACCCGGCAUCCUUGCCUGGCAGUCACGAUGCUCAGCUUCCUUAUUUGGAGGGACGGGAGGUGGGGAGCCAGAACGGCGAAGACGGCCAAGGAGGAAAAUGUAAAGCAGAGGGAGGCGAGGACAACAACACCCCCCUCCCCUGCCCGGGGACAGGUGUGUGUGUGUGUGUGUGUGUGUGUGUGUGUGUGUGUGUGUGUGUGUGUCUGAGAAGAGAGAGAGAGAGAGAGAGAGAGAGAGAGAGAGAGAGAGAGAGAGAGAGAGAGAGAGAGAGAGAGAGAGAGAGAGAGAGAGCAUCUCCCUAGGACAGGGUAUGUGUGGUCCCCUUCUGCGCCAUCCAGGGCUGGAACGUGGCAGGUGUGUGUGUGUGUGUGUGUGUGUGUGUGUGUGUGUGUGUGUGUAGUCCCCUUCUGCGUCACUCUAGGGUUGAAACGUGGCAGCUCUCCACCCUCCUGCAGAGACCCCCAAAUCACCUCGGGGAGGGGACAGUGCUGGCAAGGCCGCUCCUGUGGCCUGACAGAGUGAUAGAAGGUGGAAGGAUAGUGGCUCGUCUUGGAUCUCCACGCAUGGACCUCCUCGCACAGUCUUUGUAUUCCACUUUCUUCUCAUCUUCUCUGGGUGUUUCCUCUCUGUGUGUUGUAAAUCACCAAAAGCCAAAUAUACCCGCAAAGAGAGGGACACCCACCUAAAUGACUAGCAAGCCUCCUCUAAAGCAAAGCUGACUAGACUAAGGCAAAGGCAUUUGGUGAAAGGUUUCUAACCAGCUGACCAUAGUUUUUUGGUUUUUUUUUUUUAAAUUUUAUUUUGUACACUGGAGUUUUGCCUGCAUGAAUGUCUGUGUGAGGAUGCCACAUUGCCUGGUGCAGACAUGUGGGUGCUGGGAAUUGAACCCGGGUCCUUUGGAAAAGUGGCCAGAGUGAAUAGAGUGGGCAGUGCUCGUAACUGAUGAGCAUCUCUCUCUGACUGUAAUUUUUAACUUACAAUUUAGGGUUGUCAGAUAAAAAUCCCAGGAUGCCCAUUUAAAUUUGGCUUUCAGAUGGGCAAUGCAUAACAUUUUACUGUAGUAUUUAUUGCAUGAAAUAUUUGAUAAAAGAAUGUCUGAAAUAUUGCAGAGCACACAAUAAAAAAUAUUUCUCGUCUAAAACA
rnacentral:lncRNA from 1 species